AUAACGAUAAGCAUAUGUACAAAUCGAUAAUCGAUAAGUAAUUAUCGAUAAGGGUCAAAAUUGAAUCGAUAAAUCGAUUGCACAUCCCUAGUUUGGUAAUUAAGACAGAAUCAAAUAUUAAUUGGGAAGCUUAAAAUAUGGCGCUAUUUUAGGCAAUAAAAUCAGCCAGAUAUGGUUUGGUACAUUUUUUGUAACGAAAACAUGGAAUAUGCGGGUAAUAACCAAACAAGACAUAAUAAUGGUAAUAAGGUUUGCUAUAUGGCAUAUUUAGGCAAAAAUCCCUAUUACUUUUACCCGAUAUAUACCAACCUCUACACAAUAGACACUGAAAUUGGCAAGUCAAUUGACUUGACAAGAAUUUCGCCCUCCCCCACCCACCCCACAAACCGCAC
rnacentral:lncRNA from 1 species